rnacentral:rRNA from 1 species
UACAGAGGUCUCAAGCGUUGUUCGGAUUCAUUGGGCGUAAAGGGUGCGUAGGCGGCGCGGUAAGUCGGGUGUGAAAUCUCGGAGCUUAACUCCGAAACUGCAUUUGAUACUGGCGUGCUUGAGGACUGGAGAGGAGACUGGAAUUCACGGUGUAGCAGUGAAAUGCGUAGAGAUCGUGAGGAAGACCAGUGGCGAAGGCGGGUCUCUGGACAGUUCCUGACACUGAGGCACGAAGGCCAGGGGAGCAAACGGG